rnacentral:lncRNA from 1 species
GCAUAGUCGAUUAAAACUUAACAUAGUCGAUUAGGGGUCUAGCAUGCGCGACUUUCUCCGCCCCGCCGGAUCUAACAAAAAACUCUAGAUCUGUCUUUCCAUUGUCACCAUACCGUCGUCACACAACACCAUCACCAUCCCCACCAUCGUCACCACAAAAACACCGUCUAAUUUCCACCCGCAUGGAGACUGAUCUCAUUCUUCUCGGACGACAAUAAUAGAUCGACGCUCAUGGCGAGAAGGGGCUGCUGUUGCUCACGACAGCAGGAUCGUUUUGAUUUAGGCCUCGUGGAGCACCGCCAUGAGGGCAUACAAGAUAUGGGGCGCCGACAAUUCUUUGUCCGACCACUUGCUUCUGUGAGAGAGAAGAAGGAUUU